AUUGAACGCUGGCGGCAUGCCUUACACAUGCAAGUCGAACGGCAGCGGGGGAGAAGCUUGCUUUUCCUGCCGGCGAGUGGCGAACGGGUGAGUAAUACAUCGGAACGUGCCCUGUAGUGGGGGAUAACUAGUCGAAAGAUUAGCUAAUACCGCAUACGACCUGAGGGUGAAAGUGGGGGACCGCAAGGCCUCACGCAGCAGGAGCGGCCGAUGUCUGAUUAGCUAGUUGGUGGGGUAAAGGCCCACCAAGGCGACGAUCAGUAGCUGGUCUGAGAGGACGAUCAGCCACACUGGGACUGAGACACGGCCCAGACUCCUACGGGAGGCAGCAGUGGGGAAUUUUGGACAAUGGGGGCAACCCUGAUCCAGCAAUGCCGCGUGUGUGAAGAAGGCCUUCGGGUUGUAAAGCACUUUUGUCCGGAAAGAAAUCGCGCUGGUUAAUACCUGGCGUGGAUGACGGUACCGGAAGAAUAAGCACCGGCUAACUACGUGCCAGCAGCCGCCGUAA
rnacentral:rRNA from 1 species